rnacentral:lncRNA from 1 species
GACGGCACACACUGUAGCUAUUAUCUAAUCAUCUAAUAAUUAGCUCGACAUUUAGAAAAGGGCCUCGAGGGCCUUGGGAUGACACUGCCUUUUUCAGAUGCAAAGAUACUGUGAUUUUGCACUUGUGCCGAGCAAGAUGAGAGCAGAAGGGAAAAAUGACCCCAGGUUUUGCACGCCCUCAUCAGCCCUGAGCAGAGGCAGAUGAUUGGAGAGCUAAUGGAGCGUCAUCUUCAGGGCCCCUCAACUGCACAGCCCUGAGUGUUCUGUGAAAUUUCCGAGUGAAGAGGCUGUGGAGGAGAAAGCAGCCUUCCGCCCCAACACCUGGAGCACUGCUGUCCUUCAGUUUCCCUCAAUAGCCCCUGGAACAGAUGACCAGGGAAAAGCAUGUGAUUUCAGCCAGGACACGGAGGAGAGAGGAGCUUCCCAGCGUGGAGAGAAUGCAUCAAUGGCAUCACAGUUCCAGCCAGUUCAGGGACAUGUAUCCUUCCCCAGCGAGGUGACUCUGCUGGCUGUUGUGACUUUUUCUGAUCCCCACAUGGAGAAGUGGUCUAGCUCACCGGAGUGCCAUGUGACUCAUCCGGCAAGUGGCACAACGCUGGACAUCCAGGCUGACUUGAAAAUACGGUUCGCCUGUUCACUGUGAUUCUAUGGGGAUGCUGGGCUCUUCCAGCUGCAGAUAUUUGCCACCAGGGUGGGGUGUUGCUGCUGCCCUCUCCACUGCCUCCUUGCACACACCACUCAGACCAUUCCGCACCAGUGCCAAACUCCAUCCGGAGCGUGGAGUAAGGUGGAGGGCUCCGGAUCAGCUCUGCAUGUUAACAGGCAUGGCUAAAUAGAGACCCGAGAGUGCCUGGCUUCCUGAAACCAGGCAAAAGCUGCGGUCCUUCCUUUUUGCUUGAGGAAGACUCGGGGCG